rnacentral:rRNA from 1 species
GACGAACGCUGGCGGCGUGCUUAACACAUGCAAGUCGAGCGGUAAGGCCCUUUUGGGGGUACGACGAGCGGCGAACGGGUAGGAGUAACACGUGGGUGACCUCGCCCUCAGCUCUGGGAUAAGCCUGGGAAACUGGGUCUAAUACUGGAUAUGACCUUUCCUCGCAUGGGGUUGGGGUGGAAAGUUUUUCGGCUGGGGAGUGGGCCCGCGGCCUAUCAGCUUGUUGGUGGGGUGAUGGCCUACCAAGGCGACGACGGGUAGCCGGCCU